rnacentral:misc_RNA from 1 species
AAAGUCGUAACAAGGUUUCCGUAGGUGAACCUGCGGAAGGAUCAUUAUCGUGGGGCUUCGGCCCCGUCGAGAUAGCACCCUUGCCUUUAUGAGUACCUUGGUUUCCUCCCCCGACCAUCGGGGGGUGGGAGGACCUCGCCUGUUCCCCCGGGGCAUGGCUCCGGGGGCCCCAGAAACACGCUGCAACCACCUGUCACCGCCUGAUAACACAAGCAAAAGUCAAAACUUUCAACAACGGAUCUCUUGGUUCUG